AGGAUGUGGAAUUGCACAGACAACCAGGAUGUUGGCUUAGAAGCAGCCACUCAUUAAAAGAGUGCGUAAUAGCUCACUGGUCGAGUGACUCUGCGCCGAAAAUUUAACGGGGCUAAACUAUACACCGAAGCUUGGGAUACAUCUAAUGUAUGGUAGGAGAGCGUUCUGUAUGGGGAGAAGUCGUAGCGAAAGCGGCGGUGGACUAUACAGAAGUGAGAAUGCCGGAAUAAGUAGCGAGAAUUAAGUGAGAAUCUUAAUGGCCGAAAGUCUAAGGUUUUUGGAGGAAGGUUCGUCCGCUCCAAGUAAGUCGGGAGCUAAGGUCAGGCCGAAAGGCGUAGCCGAUGCACAUACGGUUGAUAUUCCGUAACCAUCUGUAAUUUAAGCAAAGGGACACUUCAAAAGGGUGUGACCCGGGCGUUGGUUGACCCGGGCGUAAGGGACCGAAAUUAGAGUAGGGAAGCACACUUGGCUGAAGGCGAGAAAAGCUUUGCGUAUAGAAACAGAUGCCCGUACCGCAAACCGACACAGGUGGACAGGAAGAGAAUUCUAAGGCCAGCGGGAGAAGGGUAGUUAAGGAACUCGGCAAAUUGACUCCGUAACUUCGGAAUAAGGAGUGCUCGAAAGAGCCGCAGAGAAUAGGCCCAGGCGACUGUUUAGCAAAAACACAGGUCUCUGCCAAAUCGAAAGAUGAAGUAUAGGGGCUGACACCUGCCCGGUGCCGGAAGGUUAAGAGGAGGAGUGAGAGCUCCGAAUUGAAGCCCCGGUAAACGGCGGCCGUAACUAUAACGGUCCUAAGGUAGCGAAAUUCCUUGUCGGGUAAGUUCCGACCCGCACGAAUGGUGUAACGAUCUGGGCACUGUCUCAACUACCCACCCGGCGAAAUUGUAGUACCGGUGAAGAUGCCGGUUACCUGCGGCAAGACGGAAAGACCCCAUGGAGCUUUACUGUAGCCUGAUAUUGGGUUUCGGAAAUCUAUGUACAGGAUAGGCGGGAGACUGGGAAACAUGAGCGUCAGCUUGUGUGGAGUCGAUGUUGGGAUACCGCCCUUAGGUUUCUGGAAUUCUAACCUGCGGCCGUGAAUCCGGUCGGGGGACAUUGUCAGGUGGGCAGUUUGACUGGGGCGGUCGCCUCCGAAAAGGUAACGGAGGCGCUCAAAGGUUAGCUCAGCACGGACGGAAACCGUGCCUCUGAGUGUAAACGCAAAAGCUAGCCUAACUGCGAGGGUGACGGCCCGAGCAGUAACGAAAGUUGGAGUUAGUGAUCCGGCGGUAUGUGAAUGGAAAUGCCGUCGCUCAACGGAUAAAAGCUACCCUGGGGAUAACAGGCUGAUCUCCCCCAAGAGUCCACAUCGACGGGGAGGUUUGGCACCUCGAUGUCGGCUCAUCACAUCCUGGGGCUGUAUUCGGUCCCAAGGGUUCGGCUGUUCGCCGAUUAAAGUGGUACGCGAGCUGGGUUCAGAACGUCGCGAGACAGUUCGGUCCCUAUCUGUCGUGGGCGCAGGAUAUUUGAGGAGCUCUGUCCUUAGUACGAGAGGACCGGGAUGGACGUACCUCUGGUGCACCAGUUGUCAUGCCAAUGGCACGGCUGGGCAGCUAUGUACGGAACGGAUAAACGCUGAAAGCAUCUAAGCGUGAAGCCGACUCCAAGAUUAGAUAUCCCAUCGUAUAACGAGUAAGACCCCUUGAAGACUACGAGGUUGAUAGGCUGCGUGUGUAAGUGCCGUGAGGCAUUCAGCUUGGCAGUACUAAUAGGUCGAGGGCUUGACCAC
rnacentral:rRNA from 1 species